GACGAACGCUGGCGGCGUGCUUAACACAUGCAAGUCGAACGGAAAGGCCCCUUUGGGGGUACUCGAGUGGCGAACGGGUGAGUAACACGUGAGUAACCUGCCCUUGACUCCGGGAUAACUUCAGGAAACUGGGGCUAAUACCGGAUAGGAAUCCUUGCUGCAUGGUGGGGGUUGGAAAGCUUCGGCGGUUUUGGAUGGACUCGCGGCUUAUCAGCUUGUUGGUGGGGUAGUGGCUUACCAAGGCUUUGACGGGUAGCCGGCCUGAGAGGGCGACCGGCCACAUUGGGACUGAGAUACGGCCCAGACUCCUACGGGAGGCAGCAGUGGGGAAUAUUGCACAAUGGGCGGAAGCCUGAUGCAGCAACGCCGCGUGCGGGAUGACGGCCUUCGGGUUGUAAACCGCUUUCAGCAGGGGCGAAGCUUUUGUGACGGUACCUGCAGAAGAAGCACCGGCUAACUACGUG
rnacentral:rRNA from 1 species